GACUAACGCUGGCGGCGUGCUUAACACAUGCAAGUCGAACGCUGAAGCCCUUUCGGGGGUGGAUGAGUGGCGAACGGGUGAGUAACACGUGGGUAAUCUGCCCUGCACUCUGGGAUAAGCCUUGGAAACGGGGCCUAAUACCGGAUAGGUCACAUCGCCGCAUGGUGUGUGUGUGGAAAGUUCCGGCGGUGCAGGUUGAGCCCGCGGCCUAUCAGCUUGUUGGUGGGGUGAUGGCUUACCAAGGCGACGACGGGUAGCCGGCCUGAGAGGGUGACCGGCCACACUGGGACUGAGACACGGCCCAGACUCCUACGGGAGGCAGCAGUGGGGAAUCUUGCGCAAUGGGCGAAAGCCUGACGCAGCAACGCCGCGUGGGGGAUGACGGCCUUCGGGUUGUAAACCUCUUUCGACCGGGACGAAGGGUGACUGACGGUACCGGUAGAAGAAGCACCGGCUAACUACGUGCCAGCCGCCGCGGUAA
rnacentral:rRNA from 1 species